GCAAGUCGAGCGAGAAAGCACUUCGGUGCGAGUACAGCGGCGGACGGGUGAGUAACGCGUAGGAAUCUACCUGGUAGUGGGGGACAACAUGGUGAAAACCAUGCUAAUACCGCAUACGCCCUAUGGGGGAAAGCGGGGGAUCUUCGGACCUCGCGCUAUCGGAUGAGCCUGCGUAGGAUUAGCUAGUUGGUGAGGUAAAGGCUCACCAAGGCGACGAUCCCUAGCUGUUCUGAGAGGAUGAUC
rnacentral:rRNA from 1 species